GUCAUCGCCCUGUGGUGGAUUCAUCUCAAAAUAACGUCUCAGUUCGGAUUGUAGUCUGCAACUCGACACAUGAAGCUGGAAUCGCUAGUAAUCGCGAAUCAGAAUGUCGCGGUGAAUACGUUCCCGGGUCUUGUACACACCGCCCGUCACACCAUGGGAGUUGGAUAUGCCCGAAGUCAGUGACCCAACCGUAAGGAGGGAGCUGCCGAAGGUGGAGCCGAUAACUGGGGUGAAGUCGUAACAAGGUAGCCGUAUCGGAAGGUGCGGCUGGAUCACCUCCUUU
rnacentral:ncRNA from 1 species